rnacentral:rRNA from 1 species
UAUGGUAUUGGCUUACCGUGGCAGUGACGGUUAACGGGGGAUUAGGGUUCGAUUCCGGAGAGGGAGCCUGAGAAACGGCUACCACAUCUAAGGAAGGCAGCAGGCGCGCAAAUUACCCAAUUCUAACAGCAUAAGAGAGGUAGUGACAAGAAAUAACAAUACAAGGCAAUUAAAAUGCUUUGUAAUUGGAAUGAUAGAAAU